rnacentral:rRNA from 1 species
AGUGAACGCUGGCGGUAGGCCUAACACAUGCAAGUCGAACGGCAGCACAGUAAGAGCUUGCUCUUACGGGUGGCGAGUGGCGGACGGGUGAGGAAUACAUCGGAAUCUACUUUUUCGUGGGGGAUAACGUAGGGAAACUUACGCUAAUACCGCAUACGACCUACGGGUGAAAGCAGGGGAUCUUCGGACCUUGCGCGAUUGAAUGAGCCGAUGUGGGUUUAGCUAGUUGGCGGGGUAAAGGCCCACCAAGGCGACGAUCCGUAGCUGGUCUGAGAGGAUGUUCAGCGACACGGAAGCUGAGACACGACCCAGCCACCGAGGGGAGGCACAGGUGGGUAAUUUUGGCAACUGGGGGGAAGCUUGCACAAGCCGUCCGGGGUGGAUGAAGAAGGCCUUCGGGUUGUAAAGCCCUUUUGUUGGGAAAGAAAGCAGCAGGUUAAUACCCCGCUGUUCUGACGGUACCCAAAGAAUAAGCACCGGCUAACUUCGUG